rnacentral:rRNA from 1 species
GAGAAUCAUCAUAAAACGCAAACCUGGUUGGUUUCCCCAAAACAAAUGGGACUGAACGGCUCCAAAGCAAAGUACGGUACCGUGCCGACUGGAUUC